AGCUCCUUCACCUUUCUCUUUCAUUUCACUCUCUCAAAUUCAAUCGCCGCCUCUCUCACCCUCUACCUCUAUCGUCUCUCUCCCGACCUCACCCUCACCGUCAUCGAUCUCUCUCUCUCUCUCCUCUCAUCUCCUGUCUCUUUCGACCUCAUCCUCUCUCUCUCGACCUCAUCCUAUCUCAUCUUCUGGUUUUUAUUUUGUUCUUUUUGCAGGCAGAGAAGCUUAGUGGCAGUUGUUGGCGGCACUGGAGAAGGGAAGACGUCGCUUGUGUCAGCCAUGCUUGGAGAGCUGCCUCCCAGAGCAGAUUCUGGUGUUGUAAUCAGGGGGACUGUUGCUUAUGUUCCCCAAGUUUCAUGGAUUUUCAAUGCUACUCUCCCUUAACUGAUACAAUCAUACGAGUGAAUCUGUUUGGUAUUUAAAAUUUAAUUUGGUGUUUUACUUGUAUUUUUUGUCAUGGGUUGUAAAAUAUAAUUUGGUACUUUACUUGUAUUUUUUGUCAUGGGAUGUAAGAAACAACUAAUUUGAUAGUUGGGUGAUGCUUGUGAUUGUGAUUUAGUUUAGAAACUAAAAAAAAACAGGUUAUAAUUUAGUUGAAUUUACAGGAUUUGGUUUAGGAAAAAUGAAGUGGGCUUUAAUGGAUGGCCUGUUUGAAAAAUUGGCAUUGUGGAAAAAA